GCAGACACAUUCCAUCCAAUCAGCAGCAGACCCUCCCUCCCAGACCCUCCCACCUCUUGGACAGCAUCCAUUUUGAAGCUGCAUUUUUAGUGAGCUGUCCAGGAUGUGAGAGGGUCUGGGAGGGAGGGUCUGCUGCUGAUUGGCUGGAAUGUGUCUG
rnacentral:miRNA from 1 species